rnacentral:rRNA from 1 species
UACGGAGGGUGCAAGCGUUAUCCGGAUUCGCUGGGUUUAAAGGGUGCGUAGGUGGGCAGGUAAGUCAGUGGUGAAAUCUCCGGGCUUAACUCGGAAACUGCCAUUGAUACUAUCUGUCUUGAAUACCGUGGAGGUUAGCGGAAUAUGUCAUGUAGCGGUGAAAUGCUUAGAUAUGACAUAGAACACCAAUUGCGAAGGCAGCUGGCUACACGAAUAUUGACACUGAUGCACGAAAGCGUGGGGAUCAAACAGGAAUUAGAUACCCGGG